CUUCAGGCCUUGUGUGCGCCGGUGGCGCAAGGCUUCCGGCUCGGCGCGCCCCCGGGGCGCCAGGCGCGGGCCUGGAGGGAGCACAGGGCCCUCAGAGACCGCGCGCGCCCCGCCGUCCUCAGCUAGCCGCUCUCCCUGGGGUGCGAGUGGGGCGCCCCAGCCGGGGCCACCUGCUCAAUCACCAGAAAAUAAGUGACGGACCCGCACGAGAAAUAAUAGCCUGAUGCAAGCUCCAUCAAGGCAGGUGUCUGUUUUCGUCUCUGUUGAGUCCAGUGCCCAGAGAGUGGCACUUGGUAGGCGUUCAGGAGAUUGAAUGAGCUUUUCCUGCCUUCUAGGACUUUGGCUCUUCGUCUCUUCUGGUGGUAGAUGACAAUUUCAACCUCAGACAGUGGUGGUGUCAGCAUUGUGGCAAAAGAGGUUAAGCCUCCGCCUGCGGCUGCUCCUCUUCUGAUCCAGCUCUCUGCUAUGGCCUGGAAAAGCAGUGGAAGUUGGGCCAAGUCCUUGGGCCCCUGCACCCUAGUGGGAGACCUGGAAGAAGCUCCUGGCUCCUGGCUUCAGAUCAGCCCAGCUCCAGCUUUGCAGCCAUUUGGGGAGUGAACCAGUGGUUGGAAGACCUCUCUCUGUCUCUGUGUCUCUGUGUCUGUCUCUGUCUCUCUCUGUAACUCUGUUUCUCAAAUAAAUAAAUAAAUCUUUAAAAAAAAUACAAAAUGGUAACAGCACUGUUUUAGCUUCGUGCUAUACCUAUGCAAUUCAGAUAAUGCCUUGGACACCUUCUACUCGGUAGGCAGUUUCUGCUAGGUUAAUUCAAUUGAGGACUUGAUUUUACAUUCAGAAAUGAGGCUUUCUCAUUUUCAAUUUACCCAAACCGUCUUUUUCUUUCAUAUGAGCAAAGUCACACCAAAAUGUAUGUAAUACAAAAUAUUGAUGAUACUCUUAAUCUCUUGGAUUCAUGGUUCCAUAAGUUUCUAGAACCAGGGCUGCAGACUCAGAAUGGCAGCACUCCUGCCUCAGAAUCAACCCUUGGGACAUUCAGAUCUGGCUAAAAGGUCCAUGAGAGUCUCACAGGCAUGGAAAGCCAUGACACGGUGGCAAAAAACAAUCUAAAUGAAAGAUCCUGGUGAACAAGACCCCAGCAGAAGGAACAGGCCAUCAAGGAGGGAGGCGCCUUUCUCUGAAGGGAGGAAGGAACCUCCACUGUGAUAUGGCCUUGACUAAACAAGUUCAGAGUCGGUGAACUCAAGGGGCUUCCAUAGCCUAGACAGCUCAUGGCAAGAACCUCAGGUGAUUGCUGACGCCAUAAAUAAGAGUGCCAAUUGUUAAAUCAACAACGGGAGUCACUGGGUACAGGCUCCCCACGUAGGAUCUCUGUCCUUAAUGUGUUUAACUAUGAAACUUAAAAACAACACUACUAGUCGAACAAUACCCUAUACCUGGUUUGGUUGUGUGAGUGCAGCCUGUUGAAAUCCCUGCUUAGUAUAUACUAAGUUGAUCUUCAGUAUAUGAAGGUAAUUGAAAAAUGA